AUUGAACGCUGGCGGCAGGCCUAACACAUGCAAGUCGAGCGGAUGAAGGGAGCUUGCUCCUGGAUUCAGCGGCGGACGGGUGAGUAAUGCCUAGGAAUCUGCCUGGUAGUGGGGGAUAACGUCCGGAAACGGGCGCUAAUACCGCAUACGUCCUGAGGGAGAAAGUGGGGGAUCUUCGGACCUCACGCUAUCAGAUGAGCCUAGGUCGGAUUAGCUAGUUGGUGGGGUAAAGGCCUACCAAGGCGACGAUCCGUAACUGGUCUGAGAGGAUGAUCAGUCAAACUGGAACUGAGACACGGUCCAGACUCCUACGGGAGGCAGCAGGGGGGAAUUUUGGACAAUGGGCGAAAGCCUGAUCCAGCCAGGCCGGGUGUGUGAAGAAGGUCUUCGGUUUGUAAAGCUCUUUAAGUUGGGAGGAAGGGCAGUAAGUUAAUACCUUGCUGUUUUGACGUUACCAACAGAAUAAGCACCGGCUAACUUCGU
rnacentral:rRNA from 1 species